AGUUUUGAGCUAAAUAUAUUUAUAAUAUUAGUUAUUUAUGAAGGUGUUGUAAAACCUUUAUUUAAAAUUAUAUUUAGGGGUGAUAGGCCUUUCAAAAACUAAGAUAUCUUGAAUCUAAUUAAAAGUAUAUAGUACAAUUAACACAACUAUUAAGUGAUUAGGCUUUAUAGAAUUAUUAACCUAUAAGAUUUUAUUUACUAUAAUUUAAUAAUUAAGUACAUAAAUAUAUUAAUAUACAUAUAUUAUAGUUUAUAAAAGAGUAAUUAGAUAGAUUAAAGUUCAUAUUUUUUUAUAAUAAUGUUAAUAUUAGUAUUAAGUUUAUAUUUAUAUGAUGAACUCGGCAAAAAUACUUCUCAACUGUUUAUCAAAAACAUAACUAUGUGAAUGAAUACAUAGCGGUUUCUGCUCAA
rnacentral:rRNA from 1 species